rnacentral:rRNA from 1 species
UACGGAGGGUGCAAGCGUUAUCCGGAUUCACUGGGUUUAAAGGGUGCGUAGGCGGGUAAGUAAGUCCGUGGUGAAAUCUCUGAGCUUAACUCAGAAACUGCCAUGGAUACUAUUUGCCUUGAAUGUUGUGGAGGUGAGCGGAAUAUGUCAUGUAGCGGUGAAAUGCUUAGAUAUGACAUAGAACACCAAUUGCGAAGGCAGCUUACUAUGGUUUGAUUGACACUGAGG